rnacentral:lncRNA from 1 species
CUUAGAUGCCACCUAUAGAAAAGUCAGAGGGUCCAGAUCCCAUUGAAGAUACCACGCUGCAUGUGUCCUUAGUAGUCAUGUCUCCUUAGGCUCCUCUUGGACAUUCUGAGCAUGUGAGACCUGAGGACUGCAAACAGCUAUAAGAGGCUCCAAAUUCAUCAUAUCUUUCCCUUUGAGAAUCUGGCCAAGCUCCAGCUAAUCUACUUGGAUGGGUUGCCAGCUAUCUGGAGAAAAAGAUCUUCCUCAGAAGAAUAGGCUUGUUGCUUUACAGUGUUAGUGAUCCAUUCCCUUUGACGAUCCCUAGGUGGAGAUGGGGCAUGAGGAUCCUCCAGGGGAAAAGCUCACUACCACUGGGCAACAACCCUAGGUCAGGAGGUUCUGUCAAGAUACUUUCCUGGUCCCAGAUAGGAAGAUAAAGUCUCAAAAACAACCACCACACGUCAAGCUCUUCAUUGUUCCUACCUGCCAAAUCAUUAUACUUCCUACAAGCAGUGCAGAGAGCUGAGUCUUCAGCAGGUCCAAGAAAUUUGAACACACUGAAGGAAGUCAGCCUUCCCACCUGAAGAUCAACAUGCCUGGCACUCUAGCACUUGAGGAUAGCUGAAUGAAUGUGUAUUUCUUUGUCUCUUUCUUUCUUGUCUUUGCUCUUUGUUCUCUAUCUAAAGUGUGUCUUACCCAUUUCCAUGUUUCUCUUGCUAAUUUCUUUCGUGUGUGCCUUUGCCUCAUUUUCUCUUUUUGUUCACAAGAGUGGUCUGUGUCUUGUCUUAGACAUAUCUCUCAUUUUUCAUUUUGUUGCUAUUUCUCUUUGCUCUCCUAGAUGUGGCUCUUCUUUCACGCUUUAUUUCAUGUCUCCUUUUUGGGUCACAUGCUGUGUGCUUUUUGUCCUUUUCUUGUUCUGUCUACCUCUCCUUUCUCUGCCUACCUCUCUUUUCUCUUUGUGAACUGUGAUUAUUUGUUACCCCUUCCCCUUCUCGUUCGUUUUAAAUUUCACCUUUUUUCUGAGUCUGGCCUCCUUUCUGCUGUUUCUACUUUUUAUCUCACAUUUCUCAUUUCUGCAUUUCCUUUCUGCCUCUCUUGGGCUAUUCUCUCUCUCCUCCCCUGCGUGCCUCAGCAUCUCUUGCUGUUUGUGAUUUUCUAUUUCAGUAUUAAUCUCUGUUGGCUUGUAUUUGUUCUCUGCUUCUUCCCUUUCUACUCACCUUUGAGUAUUUCAGCCUCUUCAUGAAUCUAUCUCCCUCUCUUUGAUUUCAUGUAAUCUCUCCUUAAAUAUUUCUUUGCAUAUGUGGGCAAGUGUACGUGUGUGUGUGUCAUGUGUGGCAGAGGGGCUUCCUAACCCCUGCCUGAUAGGUGCAGAACGUCGGCUAUCAGAGCAAGCAUUGUGGAGCGGUUCCUUAUGCCAGGCUGCCAUGUGAGAUGAUCCAAGACCAAAACAAGGCCCUAGGCUGCAGUAAAACCCAAAACUCAAGUAGGGCAGAAGGUGGAAGGCUCAUAUGGAUAGAAGGCCCAAAGUAUAAGACAGAUGGUUUGAGACUUGAGACCCGAGGACUAAGAUGGAAAGCCCAUGUUCCAAGAUAGAUAGAAGCCUCAGGCCUGAAACCAACAAAAGCCUCAAGAGCCAAGAAAACAGAGGGUGGCCUGAAUUGGACCGAAGGCCUGAGUUGGAUGGAAGUCUCAAGGCUUGAGUUAGAAGUCUUAAGACCUGGGACAGGACACAUGGAAGGCCUAAGAACUGAGACUUGUGACACAAGGCCAACGAUCUAAGAUUAGCCCAGGGUUGUAGCUGGAAGACCUACAACCCAAGGAUGGAAGGCCCCUGUCACAAAGCCUACCUAGAUGGAUAGAGGACCCAAGCGAAAAAGGUAUCUCAAGACUAAAGGCUGGAAUCUGGAGGCCCAUGACCCAGAACCCAGGAAGGAUAGAAGCUUGAAGACCUGGGGAAAUCCCAAGAUGAGAACCCUAAACCCUACCUCUUUUCUAUUGUUUACACUUCUUACUCUUAGAUAUUUCCAGUUCUCCUGUUUAUCUUUAAGCCUGAUUCUUUUGAGAUGUACUUUUUGAUGUUGCCGGUUACCUUUAGAUUGACAGUAUUAUGCCUGGGCCAGUCUUGAGCCAGCUUUAAAUCACAGCUUUUACCUAUUUGUUAGGCUAUAGUGUUUUGUAAACUUCUGUUUCUAUUCACAUCUUCUCCACUUGAGAGAGACACCAAAAUCCAGUCAGUAUCUAAUCUGGCUUUUGUUAACUUCCCUCAGGAGCAGGCAUUCAUAUAGGUGAUACUGUAUUUCAGUCCUUUCUUUUGACCCCAGAAGCCCUAGACUGAGAAGAUAAAAUGGUCAGGUUGUUGGGGGAAAAAAAGUGCCAGGCUCUCUAGAGAAAAAUGUGAAGAGAUGCUCCAGGCCAAUGAGAAGAAUUAGACAAGAAAUACACAGAUGUGCCAGACUUCUGAGAAGCACCUGCCAGCAACAGCUUCCUUCUUUGAGCUUAGGUGAGCAGGAUUCUGGGGUUUGGGAUUUCUAGUGAUGGUUAUGGAAAGGGUGACUGUGCCUGGGACAAAGCGAGGUCCCAAGGGGACAGCCUGAACUCCCUGCUCAUAGUAGUGGCCAAAUAAUUUGGUGGACUGUGCCAACCCUACUCCUGGGUUUAAUACCCAUCUCUAGGCUUAAAGAUGAGAGAACCUGGGACUGUUGAGCAUGUUUAAUACUUUCCUUGAUUUUUUUCUUCCUGUUUAUGUGGGAAGUUGAUUUAAAUGACUGAUAAUGUGUAUGAAAGCACUGUAAAACAUAAGAGAAAAACCAAUUAGUGUAUUGGCAAUCAUGCAGUUAACAUUUGAAAGUGCAGUGUAAAUUGUGAAGCAUUAUGUAAAUCAGGGGUCCACAGUUUUUCUGUAAGGGGUCAAAUCAUAAAUACUUUAGACUGUGGGCCAUAUGGUUUCUGUUACAUAUUUGUUUUUUAAACAACGUUUUUAUAAGGUCAAAAUCAUUCUUAGUUUUUGAGCCGAUUGGAUUUGGCCUGCUGUUCAUAGCUUACCACCCCCUGAUGUAUUAUUUGUUAUUCAGAGAAAAUUUCUGAAUACUACUAGUUUCCUUUUCUGUGCCUGUCCCUGUGCUAGGCACUAAAAAUGCAAUGAUUAUUGAUAUCUAGGUGACCUGAAAAAAAAUAGUGAAUGUGCUUUGUAAACUGUAAAGCACUUGUAUUCUACUGUGUUAAGCGUUGUGGAUACAAAGAAAGGAGCAAGCAUAAAAAAGUGCUCUUUCAAAAGGAUAUAGUACUAUGCAGACACAAGGAAUUGUUUGAUAAAUGAAUAAAUUAUAUGUAUAUUUGAGGCCAAUUUGUGUUUGCUGCUCUGGUAAUUUUGAGUAAAAAUGCAGUAUUCCAGGUAUCAGAAAUGAAAACACAUGGAAACUGCUUUUAAACUUUAAAAUAUAGUGAAAACAUAAGGGACUAAGCUUGUUGUGGUCACCUAUAAUGUGCCAGAUACCAUGCUGGGUGCUAGAGCUACCAAAGGGGGAAAAGUAUUCUCAUAGAACAAAAAAUUUCAGAAAGGUGCAUAUUAAAGUGCUUUGUAAACUAAAGCAUGAUACAAAUGUCAAUGGGCUACAUAUUUAUGAAUGAAUGAAUGGAUGAAUGAAUAUUAAGUGCCUCUUACAUACCAGCUAUUUUGGGUACUGUAAAAUACAAGAUUAAUUCUCCUAUGUAAUAAGAGGAAAGUUUAUCCUCCAUACUAUUCAGAUGUAAGGAAUGAUAUAUUGCUUAAUUUUAAACAAUCAAGACUUUACUGGUGAGGUUAAGUUAAAUUAUUACUGAUACAUUUUUCCAGGUAACCAGGAAAGAGCUAGUAUGAGGAAAUGAAGUAAUAGAUGUGAGAUCCAGACCGAAAGUCACUUAAUUCAGCUUGCGAAUGUGCUUUCUAAAUUAUAAAGCACUUGUAAAUGAAAAAUUCGAUGCUUUCUGUAUGAAUAAAACUUUCUGUAAGCUAGGUAUUGUCUCUACAAAAUUCUCAUUGUAUAGUUAAACCACAGUGAGAAGGGUUCUAUAAGUAGUUAUACAAACCAAGGGUUUAAAUACCUGUUAAAUAGAUCAAUUUUGAUUGCCUACUAUGUGAACUCACUGUUAAAGGCACUGAAAAUUUAUCAUAUUUCAUUUAGCCACAGCCAAAAAUAAGGCAAUACCUAUGUUAGCAUUUUGUGAACUCUAAGGCACCAUAUAAAUGUAACUGUUGAUUUUCUCACUUGGUGCUGGGUACUAGGUUUAUAAAAUUGUAUGAUAGUUAUUAUAUUGUGCAAAUAAAGUAGGAAAAUUUGAAUAACAAUGAUUAUCUUUUGAAUACACAUAUGCAAGGGAUUGGUUGUCUGAAGAAUGCCACUAUAGUAGUUAUCUAUUGUGUGCCAAUCUCAUUGCUAGGCAUUGGGGAUGCAAAGAUAAACCAUCUUUAUUGUGUCUUGGGUAGCAUUAGAAAAUAUGUGUAAAAUCAAUUUGUAAUUUGUAAACUGCCACCCAUAUAUAAGCUAUAUCUGCUGAAUGAUCAUUGAUUACUCUUAUCCUUAGAGAUAACAACUGGGGGCACAAACAUUUAUUAUCAUUAUUGAACCUACAACAGAGAUCUAUGUGUAGAUUUACAAAGCCUACAGUUCUAUACAGAUAGGAAUGAACUAUUGGCUUACUGAAUGGUGAUUACUUUCUGUGGGGCUCGGAACUACAUGCCCUAGGAUAUAAAAAUGAUGUUAUCAUUAUAGAGUGCUCACAGAAGGAAAUGAAGUAAUAUAGGUGUGAGAUUCAGACCAAAAGUCAUUUAACAAGUUUAUUCAGUGAUGAAAACAUGGGACAAAUGGACUAAUAUAAGGCAGUGUACUAAGCUGAGUAGAGAGAUAAAGUCCUGUCCAGAAGAUACAUGCUUCCUGGCCUGAUUGAGGAGAUGGAAAUUUUUUGCAAAAAACAAGGUGUUGUGGUCUUCCAUCCAGUUUCUUAAGUGCUGAUGAUAGAAGUGAAUUAGACCCACCUUGACCUGGCCUACAGAAGUAAAGGAGUAAAAAUAAAUGCCUCAGGCGUGCUUUUUGAUUCAUUUGAUAAACAAAGCAUCUUUUAUGUGGAAUAUACCAUUCUGGGUCCUGAGGAUGAGAGAUGAGGGCAUUAGAUCACUGACAGCUGAAGAUAGAAGAACAUCUUUGGUUGAUUGUUUAAAUAAUAUUUCAAUGCCUAUUCUCUGCAAGGUACUAUGUUUCGUAAAUUAAAUAGGUCUGGCCCAGAAGACCCACUCAAUUGCCUUUGAGAUUUAAAAAAAAAAAGAAAAAUGCAAGUUUCUUUCAAAAUAAAGAGACAUUUUUCCUAGUUUCAGGAAUCCCCCAAAUCACUUCCUCAUUGGCUUAGUUUAAAGCCAGGAGACUGAUCAAAGGGCUCAGGGUUUGUUCUUUAAUUCAUUAACUAAACAUUCUGCUUUUAUUACAGUUAAAUGGUUCAAGAUGUAACAACUAGCUUUAAAGGUAUUUGCUCAUUGGUCUGGCUUAGAGACAGGAAGACAUUUGAGCAAUAAAAAAAAGAUUCUUUUGCAUUUACCAAUUUAGUAAAAAUUUAUUAAAACUGAAUAAAGUGCUGUUCUUAAGUGCUUGAAAGACGUAAACCAAAGUGCACUUUAUCUCAUUUAUCUUAUGGUGGAGACACAGGAACAAAUUCUCUAAGAGACUGUGUUUCUUUAGUUGAGAAGAAACUUCAUUGAGUAGCUGUGAUAUGUUCGAUACUAAGGAAAAACUGAACAGAUCACCUUUGACAUGCGUUGUAGAGUGGGAAUAAGAGAGGGCUUUUUAUUUUUUCGUUCAUACGAAUAUUGAUGAAGAUGAUACUAAAUGCUAAAUGAAAUAUAUCUGCUCCAAAAGGCAUUUAUUCUGACUUGGAGAAGCAACAAAAACACAAAAAUGGAAUGAAGUGAUACUCUUCAUCAAACAGAAGUGACUGUUAUGUCAACCAUUUUGUUAAUCCUAAACAGAAAACAAAAAAAAUCAUGACGAAAAGACACUUGCUUAUUAAUUGGCUUGGAAAGUAGAAUAUAGGAGAAAGGUUACUGUUUAUUUUUUUUCAUGUAUUCAUUCAUUCUACAAAUAUAUUCGGGUGCCAAUAGGUACUUGGUAUAAGGUUUUUGGCCCCAGAGACAUGGGAAACAAAUGCAUGCCUUCCCAGAGAAUGCCUAAUACUUUACUUUUGGCUUGUUUUCUUGUUAGGGGCAUGGCUUAGUCCCUAAAUAACAUUGUGUGGUUUAAUUCCUACUCCGUAUCUCUUCUACCACUCUGGCCACUACGAUAAGCAGGUAGCUGGGUUUUGUAGUGAGCUUGCUCCUUAAGUUACAGGAACUCUCCUUAUAAUAGACACUUCAUUUUCCUAGUCCAUCCCUCAUGAAAAAUGACUGACCACUGCUGGGCAGCAGGAGGGAUGAUGACCAACUAAUUCCCAAACCCCAGUCUCAUUGGUACCAGCCUUGGGAAACCACCCACACUUGAGCCACAAUUGGUUUUGAAGUGCAUUUACAAGGUUUGUCUAUUUUCAGUUCUUUACUUUUUACAUGCUGACACAUACAUACACUGCCUAAAUAGAUCUCUUUCAGAAACAAUCCUCAGAUAACGCAUAGCAAAAUGGAGAUGGAGACAUGAUUUCUCAUGCAACAGCUUCUCUAAUUAUACCUUAGAAAUGUUCUCCUUUUUAUCAUCAAAUCUGCUCAAGAAGGGCUUUUUAUAGUAGAAUAAUAUCAGUGGAUGAAAACAGCUUAACAUUUUACCAUGCUUAAGUUUUAAGAAUAAAAUAAAAAUUGGAAAUAAUUGGCCAAAAUUGAAAGGAAAAAUUUUUUUAAAAUUUCUCUAAAUGUAGGCCUGGCUGGGCUUUGACCUUUUCCAUUUUUAAAUCACUCACAGAGGGUGGGACAGGAGGAAGAGUGAAGGAAAAGGUCAAACCUGUUUUAAGGCCUUUGUUCUGAAUUGGUCUUAAGAACAUUACCAGCUCCAGGUUUAAAUUGUUCAGUUUCAUGCAGUUCCAAUAGCUGAUCAUUGUUGAGAUGAGGACAAAAUCCUUUGUCCUCACUAGUUUGCUUUACAUUUUUGAAAAGUAUUAUUUUUGUCCAAGUGCUUAUCAACUAACCCUUGUGUUAGGUAAGAAUGGAAUUUAUUAAGUGAAUCAGUGUGACCCUUCUUGUCAUAAGAUUAUCUUAAAGCUGAAGCCAAAAUAUGCUUCAAAAGAAGAGGACUUUAUUGUUUAUUGUAGUUCAUACAUUCAAAGCAUCUAAACUGUAGUUUCUAUAGCAAGCCAAUUACAUCCAUAAGUGGAGAAGGAAAUAGAUAAAUGUCAAAGUAUGAUUGGUGGAGGGAGCAAGAUUGAAGAUAAUCUGGGGUUGAAAUUUUCCAGUUUUCAUUCUGUACAUUUUUAGUUAGACAUCAGAUUUGAAAUAUUAAUGUUUACCUUUCAAUGUGUGGUAUCAGCUGGACUCAGUAACACCCCUUUCUUCAGCUGGGGAUGGGGAAUGGAUUAUUGGAAAAUGGAAAGAAGAAAGUAACUAAAAGCCUUCCUUUCACAGUUUCUGGCAUCACUACCACUACUGAUUAAACAAGAAUAAGAGAACAUUUUAUCAUCAUCUGCUUUAUUCACAUAAAUGAAGUUGUGAUGAAUAAAUCUGCUUUUAUGCAGACACAAGGAAUUAAGUGGCUUCGUCAUUGUCCUUCUACAUCAAAGAUAAUUUAUUCCAAAAGCUAAGAUAAAUGGAAGACUCUUGAACUUGUGAACUGAUGUGAAAUGCAGAAUCUCUUUUGAGUCUUUGCUGUUUGGAAGAUUGAAAAAUAUUGUUCGGCAUGGGUGACCACCAGAAAGUAAUCUUAAGCCAUCUAGAUGUCACAAUUGAAACAAACUGGGGAGUUGGUUG